AGCGAACGCUGGCGGCAGGCCUAACACAUGCAAGUCGAACGAACCUUUCGGGGUUAGUGGCGGACGGGUGAGUAACACGUGGGAACGUGCCUUUAGGUUCGGAAUAACUCAGGGAAACUUGUGCUAAUACCGAAUGUGCCCUUCGGGGGAAAGAUUUAUCGCCUUUAGAGCGGCCCGCGUCUGAUUAGCUAGUUGGUUGAGGUAAUGGCUCACCAAGGCGACGAUCAGUAGCUGGUCUGAGAGGAUGAUCAGCCACAUUGGGACUGAGACACGGCCCAAACUCCUACGGGAGGCAGCAGUGGGGAAUCUUGCGCAAUGGGCGAAAGCCUGACGCAGCCAUGCCGCGUGAAUGAUGAAGGUCUUAGGAUUGUAAAAUUCUUUCACCGGGGACGAUAAUGACGGUACCCGGAGAAGAAGCCCCGGCUAAUUUCGU
rnacentral:rRNA from 1 species